rnacentral:rRNA from 1 species
AUUGAACGCUGGCGGAAUGCUUUACACAUGCAAGUCGAACGGUAGAGGGGGCAACCCCCUUGAGAGUGGCGAACGGGUGAGUAAUAUAUCGGAACGUGCCCAGUCGUGGGGAUAACGUAGCGAAAGUUACGCUAAUACCGCAUACGAUCUAAGGAUGAAAGCGGGGGAUCGCAAGACCUCGCGCGAUUGGAGCGGCCGAUAUCAGAUUAGGUAGUUGGUGAGGUAAAGGCUCACCAAGCCAACGAUCUGUAGCUGGUCUGAGAGGACGACCAGCCACACUGGAACUGAGACACGGUCCAGACUCCUACGGGAGGCAGCAGUGGGGAAUAAUUGGACAAUGGGCGCAAGCCUGAUCCAGCCAUGCCGCGUGUGUG